AACCAUAGAAACCUGCGGAGUACCUGCGGAAGGAUCAUUACCGAGUUACAACUCCCAAACCCCUGUGAACAUACCAAUUGUUGCCUCGGCGGAUCAGCCCGCUCCCGGUAAAACGGGACGGCCCGCCAGAGGACCCCUAAACUCUGUUUCUAUAUGUAACUUCUGAGUAAAACCAUAAAUAAAUCAAAACUUUUAACAAUGGAUCU
rnacentral:misc_RNA from 1 species